CGCAAUAGCAAGAAGCUUUGCCUGUAUCAUUUGGACUGGAUGUAGGGGUACACGUUGAUCAAUUUAACCUGCUGGUUCAACAAGUGAGAGAUUUGACUAUGGCAGUCCAAGCAAUGCAACAAAUUAAUCCUACAUCGCGAAGGCACCAUAGUCAGAGCAACCUCCACCUCCUCCACGUAGCCUAGAGCAGAGAAGGCAAAUCAAGCAC
rnacentral:lncRNA from 1 species